rnacentral:rRNA from 1 species
CAGUGGGGAAUUUUCCGCAAUGGGCGAAAGCCUGACGGAGCAAUGCCGCGUGGAGGUGGAAGGCCUACGGGUCGUCAAACUUCUUUUCUCGGAGAAGAAACAAUGACGGUAUCUGAGGAAUAAGCAUCGGCUAACUCUGUGCCAG